UAAGGAAUAUUGGACAAUGGAGGCAACUCUGAUCCAGCCAUGCCGCGUGAAGGAAUAAGGCCCUAUGGGUUGUAAACUUCUUUUAGACGGGACAAAACCCCUUUACGUGUAAAGGGUCGAUGGUACUGUCAGAAUAAGCAUCGGCUAACUUCGUGCCAGCAGCCGCGGUAAUACGAAGGAUGCAAGCGUUAUCCGGAAUUAUUGGGUUUAAAGGGUGCGUAGGCGGACUAAUAAGUCAGUGGUGAAAGCCUGCAGCUUAACUGCAGAAUUGCCAUUGAUACUGUUAGUCUUGAGUACAGUUGAGGUAGGCGGAAUGUGUCAUGUAGCGGUGAAAUGCUUAGAUAUGACACAGAACACCGAUUGCGAAGGCAGCUUGCUAAGCUGUAACUGACGCUGAGGCACGAAAGCGUGGGGAGCAAACA
rnacentral:rRNA from 1 species